CCUUUAUCAAUCUAAACCAUCUAUCUGCAGUUCCAAUGUUUCAUCAUAUAAUUUUAGUGUCUGAAUAUACACUGGAACUCGGUGUAUAAACCACCUAUAUCCAUCGAUGUGUGCCUGAUCGUUUACUCUCAUAUCAAUGGACAGUAGAGCAAAGAGGUAUGACGAGUCAGUGCCUCCCGUGUUUGUCAAUAUGGCACUUGUCAAUAGUAGACCCUUCAUCAAGAGGGCCCCAUGGUGAAUAUGCCUUGGCCAAAAAUAAAAAAUAAAAAUCUGAAUGGCUCACCUGGUGAAUUUCCUGGAUCUUUGCCUACUGUUGGAAGGACUAUGUAGGCUACAACAGG